UGAAAGGUAUGCCUGUAUCCCUCUCUGUAC
rnacentral:piRNA from 1 species